CGGCUUGAGAGAGCUGGGAGCAAUGAGCUUGGUGGUCUAUCCACUCCUGCGGCUCCCGUGCCGCUGCGCCCUCGCGGCGGCGCCGCGGGCCGCCGCGGCGUCGGUGGUGUCGCUGUCGGCAUCGGCCUCGGCCUCGGCGGCGGACGGCGGGGACGGGGAGCUGACGGCGCGGGAGAGGCGGGAGAGGCGGAGGGAGGCGAGGGAGCUCAAGGCGCGGGACUGGAAGGAGGAGGUGGAGGAGCGGCUCAUCCACGAGCCGGCGCGGCGUCGGAAGAAGCCGCCGAAGCGGACGUGGCGGGAGGAGCUCAACCUCGACUUCCUCGCCGAGCACGGCCCGCAGUGGUGGCUCGUGCGCGUCUCCAUGGCCCCCGGCACCGACUACGUCGACCUCAUCACCAAGGCCGUCGCCCGCCGCUUCUCCGAGGUGUCCUUCAAGAUUUACAACCCAGCAAUCCAAGUGAAGAAGAGGCUGAAAAGUGGUUUGAUCAGUACCAAGUCAAAGCCUCUGCAUCCUGGGCUGGUCUUUCUGUAUUGCACAUUAAACAAGGAGCUUCAUGAUUUUAUCAGAGACACUGAAGGUUGUUAUGGUUUUAUUGGAGCCACAAGAGGAUCUAUUAAAAGGCAGAUUAAGAAGCCUAAACCUAUUCCAGUUGAAGAAGUCGAGUCGAUUAUUAAAAAGGAAAAGGAGGAACAAGAGAAAGCUGACAAAGAAUUUGAAGACUUGGAAAACUGGGAUAAGGGGUCUUUUGGUAAACCCGUUGAAGACCCUGAACUUAUGUUAAUUAAUAAGAUCAAGAAACAGGUCAAGAAAUCAACUACAAAAGGUGCCUCCAGCAACGACACUUUUACGCUCGGUGCCAGUGUUCAUGUUCUCUCCGGGCCUUUUGCAGGCUUCACUGGCUCUCUUCUGGAAGUAAAUCGCAAAAAUAAGAAGGUUACUGUCCAGAUGACACUUUUUGGCAAGGAGAGCUUUGUAGAUCUAGAUUUUGAUCAAAUUGAGGCACUGAAUACUUAAUGCUAGGCACACACCCACUGUAUCAGUAGUUUUGUUUUUCGAAAUAGAAUCAGAAGUUUUAUCAGUUGGGCCCUGGAGAUAUGAAUAAAGCACUUGGGGUAUAUGGAUCUGUUGAAGACCACCGGAUUGGGUGACAAACACAAGAGAAGAGUUAGCCUGUGAGCCAGUAAACAUUAAGCCCCUGGCAGGUGUUUGGAGCGCGGGUUUGCGAACCAGGAUCGGAUCUGUUGAACCUGGGAAAUCGCCGACCUGACCUGACCUCCACUUGGUUGCUGAAGUUCUACCUCGACCUAUAGUUCUAUCAUGUAGAGAGCAAUGUUUCAACACUUUGUAUACUUUUUUAGCACCAUAGUCUAUUCAUUAAUUUCAUAAUUGUGAUCAGUACAUUCGUUUA